UCUACGGGUGGCAGCAGUGAGGAAUAUUGGUCAAUGGGCGGAAGCCUGAACCAGCCAAGUCGCGUGAGGGAAUAAGGCCCUACGGGUCGUAAACCUCUUUUGCCGGGGAGCAAGGGCGGGGACGUGUCCCGGCCCGGGGAGUACCCGGAGAAAAAGCAUCGGCUAACUCCGUGCCAGCAGCCGCGGUAAGACGGAGGAUGCGAGCGUUAUCCGGUUUUAUUGGGUUUAAAGGGGGCGUAGGGGGGCUUUUAAGUCAGCGGUAAAAAUUCGGGGCUCAACCCCGUCCGGCCGUUGACACUGUGUGCCUUGAGUGGGCGUGAGGAAGGCGGAAUGCGUGGUGUAGUGGUGAAAUGCAUAGAUAUCACGCAGAACCCCGAUUGCGAAGGCAGCCUUCCGGCGCCCUACUGACGCUGAGGCACGAAAGUGCGGGGAUCGAACAGGAUUAGAUACCCUUGUAGUC
rnacentral:rRNA from 1 species